rnacentral:misc_RNA from 1 species
GAACGCACAUUGCGCUCUCUGGUAUUCCGGAGAGCAUGCUUGUUUGAGUAUCAGUAAACACCUCAAUUUCAAGAUUUUCUAUUUUGAAAUUGGACUUGAGCAUAUCCCAACGUGUAUUUAAUUACAUGGAGGGUUGCUUCAAAUGCAGGUGCAGCCGAUCAUUCUUCUGGGCUAAAAGCAUUAUCUAGUUAGUCCCGUAAAACGGAUUAUUCAUUUUAUUGCUGCAGCUUACCUUUAUAAAAGGAAGACAUGGUCAUUGUGCUGACUGAUGCAGGAUUUCUCAGAGGGUCUGCAAAGACUUUUUGAAAACUCGAUCUCAAAUCAAGUAAGACUACCCGCUGAACUUA